GAAAGCGUGGGGAGCGAACAGGAUUAGAUACCCUGGUAGUCCACGCCGUAAACGGUGGAUGCUGGAUGUGGGGCCCGUUCCACGGGUUCCGUGUCGGAGCUAACGCGUUAAGCAUCCCGCCUGGGGAGUACGGCCGCAAGGCUAAAACUCAAAGAAAUUGACGGGGGCCCGCACAAGCGGCGGAGCAUGCGGAUUAAUUCGAUGCAACGCGAAGAACCUUACCUGGGCUUGACAUGUUCCCGACGAUCCCAGAGAUGGGGUUUCCCUUCGGGGCGGGUUCACAGGUGGUGCAUGGUCGUCGUCAGCUCGUGUCGUGAGAUGUUGGGUUAAGUCCCGCAACGAGCGCAACCCUCGCCCCGUGUUGCCAGCGGAUUGUGCCGGGAACUCACGGGGGACCGCCGGGGUUAACUCGGAGGAAGGUGGGGAUGACGUCAGAUCAUCAUGCCCCUUACGUCCAGGGCUUCACGCAUGCUACAAUGGCCGGUACAACGGGAUGCGACGCGGCGACGCGGAGCGGAUCCCUGAAAACCGGUCUCAGUUCGGAUCGCAGUCUGCAACUCGACUGCGUGAAGGCGGAGUCGCUAGUAAUCGCGAAUCAGCAACGUCGCGGUGAAUGCGUUCCCGGGCCUUGUACACACCGCCCGUCAAGUCAUGAAAGUGGGCAGCACCCGAAGCCGGUGGCCUAACCCCUUGUGGGAUGGAGCCGUCUAAGGUGAGGCUCGUGAUUGGGACUAAGUCGUAACAAGGUAGCCGUACCGGAAGGUGCGGCUG
rnacentral:rRNA from 1 species